ACAUCUGCUUGGCUUCAUCAAUGGAUUCCUCUGCUCAGAUCUACAGCUUGUAUACUUCAUUCCCACAGUACUCUUUCAUGAAUUAAAGGAGACUCAUUAUCCAUCUCCGUGGCCCUAUCAAAAGAAUAAUUCUUCCCCAUUCGGCAUCUCCUCAUCCCUCUUUCAUCUCAGGCUUGACUCUUUCUUUUACUGACCUUGAUGUUUUCAUGUUGUCUCUCUACGUGUCACUUUGUUCUCUUCUUUCCAUGGAGAGAGGAUUGAGGUCUGCAGGUCUCAUCUGUGUAGUGGAAGGGUUAAAUCUUGCCCAGGCCUGUGGAUGGUCAUGUGAGCUCUGCUGGGGGCAGCAGCUGGAGCUGUUUAUGCUGAAUGAUUUGUUGCUGCACUGGGCAAGGGCGACUAUGAUCUCAGGAGCCAGGCCAGCACUCAGAGGCUGCACACCGCAGGCUGAUGUGGUUGUGCCUGGCUGACAUCCUCACUGAUACCAGCCAUUCUGAAGCUACUCAUGCAGAUGCAGCAGCAGUAACUGCCCAGAUCAUAUCUCCUCAUGUUCACUCAGCAUCUCAGAAGCUUUCUGGAAGAUAAGGAAGAAAUCAUGACAGCACUUGUCAGUAAAUUUUGUACAGGAUUUCCAAGUCCAUUUAAAAUAACAGGUGGUAACAAUAUUGGCAAACAUGUCUUUCUUGGACCAGUGUGCUUCAGAAAUCAUUCAAGGAAAUGGUGUUCAACUUUUAAUGGAAAUGCUCUUUGAAAAAUCCUCCUCAGGAAAUCCAGCAGAUGUUGCAGCUUGUGAGCGAGUCCAGCAGAAAUCUGCAGUUACCCUGGCACAGCUCAGCCGAGAUCCUGAGGUGGCAGAUGCAGCCUUAAAACUCAGCUGUAAGGAUGUGCCUCCUACUUAAUGGCACUGUAAGGAGGCAGCCUUGUGGAGACUAGCACUUAUGAGUUGUGAUGGACUGGAAGAGUCAGAUUUUCAGCAGCUGGUAAAGCCCAGACUCAUGGAUUCUUUUCUGCUGUGCACAAACAUGGAAGAGAGCUUUGUAUGAAUGGGAGCCAAAAACCUUUGAACGGUAACGAAGGUGAUAGGUAUACAGUAAGAUAACACAUGAACAAUUUUA